AGUGAACGCUGGCGGUAGGCCUAACACAUGCAAGUCGAACGGCAGCACAGGACAGCUUGCUCUCUGGGUGGCGAGUGGCGGACGGGUGAGGAAUACAUCGGAAUCUGCCCAGUCGUGGGGGACAACGUAGGGAAACUUACGCUAAUACCGCAUACGACCUCCGGGUGAAAGAGGGGGAGCGAAAGACCGCUCGCGAUUGGAUGAGCCGAUGUCGGAUUAGCUAGUUGGCGGGGUAAUGGCCCACCAAGGCGACGAUCCGUAGCUCGUCUGAGAGUAUGAUAGGCCACACUAGAGCUUGGACACGGACCAGAGUCCUGCGAGAGGCAGCAGUGGGGAAUAUUAGACAACGGGCGCAAGCCUGAUCCAGCCAUACCGCGUGUGUGAAGACGGCCUUCGGGUUGUGAAGCCCUUUUGUUGGGAAAAAAAUCUUUCAGGCUAAUACCCUGGGAGAAUGACGGUACCCAAAGAAUAAGCACCGGCUAACUUCGUG
rnacentral:rRNA from 1 species